CCUACGGGAGGCAGCAGUGAGGAAUAUUGGUCAAUGGGCGCGAGCCUGAACCAGCCAAGUCGCGUGAGGGAAGACGGUCCUAUGGAUUGUAAACCUCUUUUGUCGGGGAGCAAAAGACGCCACGCGUGGCGUUCCGUGAGUACCCGAAGAAAAAGCAUCGGCUAACUCCGUGCCAGCAGCCGCGGUAAUACGGAGGAUGCGAGCGUUAUCCGGAUUUAUUGGGUUUAAAGGGUGCGCAGGCGGAAGAUCAAGUCAGCGGUAAAAUUGAGGGGCUCAACCUCUUCGAGCCGUUGAAACUGGUUUUCUUGAGUGAGCGAGAAGUAUGCGGAAUGCGUGGUGUAGCGGUGAAAUGCAUAGAUAUCACGCAGAACUCCGAUUGCGAAGGCAGCAUACCGGCGCUCAACUGACGCUCAUGCACGAAAGUGUGGGUAUCGAACAGGAUUAGAUACCCUUGUAGUC
rnacentral:rRNA from 1 species